CUCUGAGACAGGUGCUGCAUGGCUGUCGUCAGCUCGUGUUGUGAAAUGUUGGGUUAAGUCCCGCAACGAGCGCAACCCUUAUCCUUUGUUGCCAGCGGUUCGGCCGGGAACUCAAAGGAGACUGCCAGUGAUAAACUGGAGGAAGGUGGGGAUGACGUCAAGUCAUCAUGGCCCUUACGAGUAGGGCUACACACGUGCUACAAUGGCAUAUACAAAGAGAAGCGACCUCGCGAGAGCAAGCGGACCUCAUAAAGUAUGUCGUAGUCCGGAUUGGAGUCUGCAACUCGACUCCAUGAAGUCGGAAUCGCUAGUAAUCGUGGAUCAGAAUGCCACGGUGAAUACGUUCCCGGGU
rnacentral:rRNA from 1 species